AUUGAGCGCUGGCGGCAGGCCUAACACAUGCAAGUCAAGCGGAUGAAGGGAGCUUGCUCCUGGAUUCAGCGGCGGACGGGUGAGUAAUGCCUAGGAAUCUGCCUGGUAGUGGGGGAUAACGUCCGGAAACGGGCGCUAAUACCGCAUACGUCCUGAGGGAGAAAGUGGGGGAUCUUCGGACCUCACGCUACCAGAUGAGCCUAGGUCGGAUUAGCUAGUUGGUGGGGUAAAGGCCUACCAAGGCGACGAUCCGUAACUGGUCUGAGAGGAUGAUCAGUCACACUGGAACUGAGACACGGUCCAGACUCCUACGGGAGGCAGCAGUGGGGAAUAUUGGACAAUGGGCGAAAGCCUGAUCCAGCCAUGCCGCGUGUGUGAAGAAGGUCUUCGGAUUGUAAAGCACUUUAAGUUGGGAGGAAGGGCAGUAAGUUAAUACCUUGCUGUUUUGACGUUACCAACAGAAUAAGCACCGGCUAACUUCGUG
rnacentral:rRNA from 1 species